rnacentral:rRNA from 1 species
GAGGAAUAUUGGUCAAUGGACGUAAGUCUGAACCAGCCAAGUAGCGUGCAGGAUGACGGCCCUAUGGGUUGUAAACUGCUUUUGUAUGGGGAUAAAGUCAAUCACGUGUGAUUGUUUGCAGGUACCAUACGAAUAAGGACCGGCUAAUUCCGUGCCAGCAGCCGCGGUAAUACGGAAGGUUCGGGCGUUAUCCGGAUUUAUUGGGUUUAAAGGGAGCGUAGGCUGGAGAUUAAGUGUGUUGUGAAAUGUAGACGCUCAACGUCUGAAUUGCAGCGCAUACUGGUUUCCUUGAGUACGCACAACGUUGGCGGAAUUCGUCGUGUAGCGGUGAAAUGCUUAGAUAUGACGAAGAACUCCGAUUGCGAGGGCAGCUGACGGGAGCGCAACUGACGCUUAAGCUCGAAGGUGCGGGUAUCAAACAGGAUUAGAUACCCUGGUAGUCCGCACAGUAAACGAUGGAUGCCCGCUGUUAGCGCCUGGCGUCAGCGGCUAAGCGAAAGCAUUAAGCAUCCCACCUGGGGAGUACGCCGGCAACGGUG